AAGGUCCAAGGGAAUAAAUGCUAGCUACAAAUAACAAAACAGUGGGCCUAGAAGGUGGAUUUCUGAUAGCUGAGAGUCAGCAAGAUCAAAAGGAAGGGCUUUGUUGCCAUUACCAUAUAUGAUUUUGUGUUGUCUUCAUUAUUUUAAAUGGGAACAUUCUGGAGACACAAGCGAGAAAGAAAGAAAGAACAAAAAGGCGACUAAAUGCAAGGUUACCUUUGCCAGCGGAUCUUAUUAAAUACGGUUAAGGGCUGCAAACGGAUCAGAUCUCUCAGAUAAGGAUAGCAAAU
rnacentral:lncRNA from 1 species